UACGUAGGGGGCAAGCGUUGUCCGGAUUUACUGGGCGUAAAGCGUGCGUAGGCGGUUCGCUGUGUCCGAUGUGAAAGCCCCGGGCUUAACCUGGGAAUGGCAUUGGAAACUGGCGGGCUUGAGUGUGGCAGAGGGGGGUGGAAUUCCGCGUGUAGCAGUGAAAUGCGUAGAGAUGCGGAGGAACACCGAUGGCGAAGGCAGCCCCCUGGGUUAACACUGACGCUCAGGCACGAAAGCGUGGGGAGCAAACAGG
rnacentral:rRNA from 1 species